ensembl:lncRNA
AGAGAAAAUGCUAGAAAAAUGCAGAGGCCAGUAUUGGGGAAGACCAGUUACAUUACAGAGCUGCUCCUGGGAAGUCAGCCAGAGUAUCUCUGUAGGAGUCUUCGUCUUUCCCUCUGACUGUAAAACGGUGCUAGAGCCUCACACAGCAUCCAGUUAAUGAGCUUAACCAGUGGUAAGGGGAGCAUCAACUCAGACAUGAUUGGAUACCAGCAAAUCAGUUCCCCAGACUGUGCCAGAAUGGAAGAUACUGGUUGGAGAUUCAGACAUUUCCAUCUCCUUUACGGACCACAGCUCUUCUUCCUUAAAAAAGGAUCCUGCUCACUUCCAUUCAAGUUCAAGGGUUGAAGAACAUGAAUGAGAAAACUGGCCCACAGAGAGAUCCUGGUGAUGAGCGUCCAGCAGUCACCUGGAUUGCAGCAAAAGUGUCAAGAACUUAAUAGCUACACACAGACAGAUUUGAGGUUCUUGUCUAAA